AUUGAACGCUGGCGGCAGGCCUAACACAUGCAAGUCGAGCGGAUGAAGGGAGCUUGCUCCUGGAUUCAGCGGCGGACGGGUGAGUAAUGCCUAGGAAUCUGCCUGGUAGUGGGGGAUAACGUCCGGAAACGGGCGCUAAUACCGCAUACGUCCUGCGGGAGCAAGUGGGGGGUCUUCGGACAUCACGCUCUCAUAUGAGCCUAGGUGGGGGUAGCUAGUUGGUGGGUUAAAGGCCUACUAAGGCGAGGAUCGGUAGCUGGACUGCGAGGAUGAUAGGUCACAUGGGAGGUGGGACAGGGUCCAGGGUCCUACGGGAGGCAGCAGUGGGGAAUGUUAGGCAGAAGGCGAAAGCCUUAUCCAGCGAGGCCGCGUGUGUGAAGAAGGUCUUCGGAUUGUAAAGCACGUUAAGUUGGGAGGAAGCGCAGUAAGUUAAUACCUUGCUGUUUUGACGGUACCAACAGAAUAAGCACCGGCUAACUACGUG
rnacentral:rRNA from 1 species